rnacentral:misc_RNA from 1 species
GAUGAAGAACGUAGCGAAAUGCGAUACGUAGUGUGAAUUGCAGAAUUCAGUGAAUCAUCGAGUCUUUGAACGCACAUUGCGCCCCCUGGUAUUCCGGGGGGCAUGCCUGUCCGAGCGUCAUUGCUGCCCUCAAGCACGGCUUGUGUGUUGGGCUCCGCCCCCCUCCCGGGGGGCGGGCCCGAAAGGCAGCGGCGGCACCGCGUCCGGUCCUCGAGCGUAUGGGGCUUUGUCACCCGCUCUGUAGGCCCGGCCGGCGCCCGCCGGCGACCCCAAUCAAUCUUUCCAGGUUGACCUCGGAUCAGGUAGGGAUACCCGCUGAACUUAAGCAUAUCAAUAAGCGGAGGA